CGAACGCACCUUCGGGUGAGUGGCAGACGGGUGAGUAACGCGUGGGAAUCUACCCAAUACUCCGGAAUAACUCAGGGAAACUUGUGCUAAUACCGGAUACGCCCUCCGGGGGAAAGAUUUAUCGGUAUUGGAUGAGCCCGCGUUGGAUUAGCUAGUUGGUGAGGUAAUGGCUCACCAAGGCGACGAUCCAUAGCUGGUCUGAGAGGAUGAUCAGCCACACUGGGACUGAGACACGGCCCAGACUCCUACGGGAGGCAGCAGUGGGGAAUAUUGGACAAUGGGCGCAAGCCUGAUCCAGCCAUGCCGCGUGAGUGAUGACGGCCUUAGGGUUGUAAAGCUCUUUCAACGGUGAAGAUAAUGACGGUAACCGUAGAAGAAGCCCCGGCUAACUUCGUGCCAGCAGCCGCGGUAAUACGAAGGGGGCUAGCGUUGUUCGGAAUAACUGGGCGUAAAGCGCACGUAGGCGGACUAUUAAGUCAGGGGUGAAAUCCCGGGGCUCAACCCCGGAACUGCCUUUGAUACUGGUAGUCUAGAGUUCGAGAGAGGUGAGUGGAAUUCCGAGUGUAGAGGUGAAAUUCGCAGAUAUUCGGAGGAACACCAGUGGCGAAGGCGGCUCACUGGCUCGAUACUGACGCUGAGGUGCGAAAGCG
rnacentral:rRNA from 1 species